rnacentral:rRNA from 1 species
UACAGAGGGUGCUAGCGUUGUUCGGAAUUACUGGGCGUAAAGCGCGCGCAGGCGGAUCCUGUAAGUCUGGAGUGAAAAUUUCACCGCUCAACGGUGAAGCUGCUUUGGAUACUGCGGAUCUGGAGACCGGUAGAGGCUGGUAGAAUUGCAGGUGUAGCGGUGGAAUGCGUAGAGAUCUGCAAGAAUACCCGUGGCGAAGGCGGCCAGCUGGGCCGGGUUCUGACGCUGAGGCGCGAAAGCGUGGGGGAGCAAACAGG